rnacentral:rRNA from 1 species
GACGAACGCUGGCGGCGUGCUUAACACAUGCAAGUCGAACGGAAAGGCCCUGCUUUUGUGGGGUGCUCGAGUGGCGAACGGGUGAGUAACACGUGAGUAACCUGCCCCUGACUUUGUGAUAACUUCAGGAAACUGGGGCGAAUACCGGAUAGGAGCUCCUGCUGCAUGGUGGGGGUUGGAAAGUUUCGGCGUUUGGGGCUGGAGUCGCGGCUUAUCAGCUUGUUGGUGGGGUAGUGGCUUACCAAGGGUUUGACGGGUAGCCGGCCUGAGAGGGUGACCGGCCACAUUGGGACUGCGAUACGGCCCAGACUCCUACGGGCGGCAGCAGUGGGGAAUAUUGCACAAUGGGCGGAAGCCUGAUGCAGCAACGCCGCGUGCGGGAUGACGGCCUUCGGGUUGUAAACCGCUUUCGCCUGUGACGAAGCGUGAGUGACGGUAAUGGGUAAAGAAGCAACGGCUAACUACGUG